AGAACAAAUUAAAGCAGGUAAAUUUAGAGAAGAGUGAUGAGAAUGAAGAGAAGAAGAGCAGCAAUGAAAGAGUACUUGAUUGCAGCGACAAGAAUGGCGAAGGAGAUGAACAACAGCUGCCAGAGAACUUGAACACUCGCCCAUAUCAGAAUCCAGUCAACCUAAGCGCAACCACGUUGUUUGGGUCAGGGUCAAAAAGGGAAUUCCAACUCAAACUGAAAAUUGUUCUUCUUUCUUU
rnacentral:lncRNA from 1 species